rnacentral:ncRNA from 1 species
GAACGCCGUAUGAGUACGAAAGUCUCACGUACGGUGUGGAGGAGGGGAAAAGGUAGAGAUAACUUCAAAGCCUUACCUAUUCCUAU